CAUGGCUCAGGACGAACGCUGGCGGCGUGCUUAACACAUGCAAGUCGAACGAAGAGCGAUGGAAGCUUGCUUCUAUCAAUCUUAGUGGCGAACGGGUGAGUAACGCGUAAUCAACCUGCCCUUCAGAGGGGGACAACAGUUGGAAACGACUGCUAAUACCGCAUACGAUCUAAUCUCGGCAUCGAGGAUAGAUGAAAGGUGGCCUCUACAUGUAAGCUAUCACUGAAGGAGGGGAUUGCGUCUGAUUAGCUAGUUGGAGGGGUAACGGCCCACCAAGGCGAUGAUCAGUAGCCGGUCUGAGAGGAUGAACGGCCACAUUGGGACUGAGACACGGCCCAGACUCCUACGG
rnacentral:rRNA from 1 species